rnacentral:rRNA from 1 species
CCUACGGGGGGCAGCAGUGAGGAAUAUUGGUCAAUGGGCGCGAGCCUGAACCAGCCAAGUAGCGUGAAGGAUGACUGCCCUACGGGUUGUAAACUUCUUUUAUAAAGGGAUAAAGUGAAGCACGUGUGCCUUUUUGCAUGUACUUUAUGAAUAAGGAUCGGCUAACUCCGUUCCAGCGGCCGCGGUAAUACGGAAGGUCCGAGCGUUAUCCGGAUUUAUUUGGUUUAAAGGGAGCGCAGAUGGGUUGUUAAGUCAGUUGUGAAAGUUUUGGGCUCAACCGUAAAAUUGCAAUUGAUACUGGCAGUCUUGAGUACAGUAGAGGUAGGCGGAAUUCGUGGUGUAGCGGUGAAAUGCGUAGAGAUCACGAAGAACUCCGAUUGCGAAGGCAGCCUACUAAACUGCCACUGACGUUGAGGCUCGAAAGUGUGGGUAUCAAACAGGAUUAGAUACCCUAGUAGUC